GCGAGCGUAGUUCAGUGGUAGAACACAACCUUGCCAAGGUUGCUAUGCGGGUUCGAUUCCCGUCGCUCGCUCCA
rnacentral:tRNA from 1 species